rnacentral:rRNA from 1 species
GAUGGCGACCGGCGCACGGGUGCGUAACGCGUAUGCAACCUACCCAUAACAGGGGGAUAACACUGAGAAAUUGGUACUAAUACCCCAUAAUACUUUGGAAGGCAUCUUUUGGAGUUGAAAGUUCAGGCGGUUAUGGAUGGGCAUGCGUUGUAUUAGCUAGAUGGUGGGGUAACGGCUCACCAUGGCUACGAUACAUAGGGGGACUGAGAGGUUAACCCCCCACACUGGUACUGAGACACGGACCAGACUCCUACGGGAGGCAGCAGUGAGGAAUAUUGGUCAAUGGACGCAAGUCUGAACCAGCCGUGCCGCGUGCAGGAAGACGGCUCUAUGAGUUGUAAACUGCUUUUGUACAAGGGUAAACCCUGGGACGUGUCCCAGGCUGAAAGUACUGUACGAAUAAGGAUCGGCUAACUCCGUGCCAGCAGCCGCGGUAAUACGGAGGAUCCAAGCGUUAUCCGGAUUUAUUGGGUUUAAAGGGUGCGUAGGCGGAAUAGUAAGUUAGAGGUGAAAGCUCGGGGCUCAACUCCGGAACUGCCUCUGAUACUGCUAAUCUAGAGAGUAGAUGCGGUAGGCGGAAUGUAUGGUGUAGCGGUGAAAUGCUUAGAGAUCAUACAGAACACCGAUUGCGAAGGCAGCUUACCAAACUAUAUCUGACGUUGAGGCACGAAAGCGUGGGGAGCAAACAGGCUUAGAUACC